UAUUCUUUUGAAGAGUGCAUUUCAAGCUGCCAAGGUGGAGAGAGGGAUUACAGAAAGGAGAACACCUUAUUUCAGGAACGUGGAUGGAGCUGGUGGCCAUUAUUCUUAGUAAACUCAUGCAGGAACAAAACCAGAUACUGCAUGUUCCCACUUACAGGUGAGAGCUAAAUGUUGAGAACACAUGGACACACAGAGAGGAACAACAGACACUGGUGCCUACUUGAGGAUGGAAGGUGGAAGGAGGGAGAUGAGCAGAAAAAAUAACUGUUGGCUUAGUACCUGAGUCACAAAAUGGAACAGCUGGAACUGAGUCUUCAAAAAGCUGUUCAAGAGUUCUGAAGACCAGCUGCUUCUGGAUGAUGGAAUGUACAGUAAGACCAGAACGUAGAUGGAGCUGGUGGCCAUUAUUCUUAGUAAACUCAUGCAGGAACAGAAAACCAAAUACUGCACGUUCCCACUUACAGCACAAGAACCAUCAAUCAGCACAGAAGACUUCUGUGACCCCAAACUAUGUGGGGAUUUCUCCCUAGCAACAAGCAAGCAAUCAGUUUGGCAACAAACACUGACUGGAUGUCUUCCAAUUCAAUUCCAACACUAUCUACCUGGAAAUAGUGUCUGAUCCCACAGGAAACGGGGUUUCACCAUAUUAUCCAGGCUGGUCUUGAACUCCUGGGCUGAAGAAAUCCACACACCUCGUCCUCCCAAAGUGUUGGGAUUACAGGCGUGAACCACCACACCCCAGUUCAAUCCAUUCUACACAAACUGUAAGGAUAGUUUUUCUAAAACAGUACAUGGAUCAAUUAAAACUGAUCAGCUUUACACUAAAACUGAUCAGAGUUCUGAUCAGUUCAAGAACUUUGUCUGUGUAGUCAAGUCCCAAAUCAUCAUUCUGGCACUUAAGGAAGAAUGGCCACAGCCUCAUCUCCCUAUUAUUCCCUUUAUGAAAGCUUAUGGUAUCUUUGGUUUAGCACUGAUUCCACCCUUCCCUGCCUUUUAUAUAAUUGGUGUAUUUAUCUUUUGUCUAGAUUGUGAGAUCCUUGGAAACAGGUAUUAUGCAUAUAAACUCAAUAACUUUAUUUCUUUUUCUGCCAAGUGAACAAAGACCUCCAAAUUGUAGUCACAUGUAAUACAGAACACUGGUAUUGGUCAUAUCUCCAUCUCUGAUCCACCCUUCCUCCCAUGCAAGCUAUAGAUGCAUAUCAUCUAUUUUGAAUUGCCUAUUGAAAUGUCCCUUUGAAUAUCUAAUAGGCAUUUCAAGUUUAAUAUAUUCAGAAUAGUUUUUCCUCCAUUGUUUACUACCUGCCAGUUGCUUAAGGCCAAAAUCUAUGAAUCAUUCUUGAUUCUUCUCUCAUUUUCCAUAUUCAAUCCAUCAGAAGUUUUAAUGGCUUUAUCUCCAAAAUAUAUCUUAACAAUGGAGCAAAAUUUGAGUACCAUAGAACCAGAUUAGGGAUAACUGUAGGAAUGAAGGAGUGAUACACCUAGGAAUAGGAAAGUAGUCUGAAGCCAGAUGAUAAAGGUCCUUUUAUGCCAAACUAAGAAGUUCAGAUAUUAUUGUUAGAGGAGAGCUAUUGAGGUUUUUGAGUAGGGCACUUAUAUAUUCAUUUUGUACUUCAGGAAUGAAUCAGUAGAGGGGAUAAAUGAGGGUACCCUCAAAAUUGCAAGCAAUGAAGUAUUAGAACUGAAUUUUUAGGGACAGCAAUACCAGCCUAACUGGCUGCAUAAGAGAAGACUGGGUGUUUGGGAGAGGCAAAAAAUAAGGCCAACAGAAAAGGUAGGGUAGGGACAGAAUAUAAAGGGCUUGAAAGCCAGGUAAAAGCAUAUAAACUGGGAUGCCUGGGUUCUAAUAACUGUUUCCCUACUUGGAGAAACUCCCCUUAUCUUUUUUAAACCCCAGUUUCCUUUUCCUGGGAUUUGCUUCAGCUAUAAAUGUUGUAAUUUUCUAUAAUGCUCUGACCUGCUACAGUGGCUCUGAAACCUUGACUGCACACUGGAAUCACCUAGAGAGCUUUAAAAGCUACUGAUGGCUAGAUCUCACUACCAAAGAUUCAGAUUUAUCUGGUCUUAGGUGCAGCCUGGACACUGAGAUAUUUAAAAGUUCUCCAGGUGAUUCUAAUGUGCAGCCAAGGUUGAGAUCAACUCAUGUAGAAAAUAGUGAAGCACUAAGAUUCUUAAGCAUGGUAAUAAUAUGUUAAAAUUUAGUUUAGUUUUUUUGUUUUUUUUGUUUUUUCCAAGACGGAGUCUUGCUCUGUCGCCCAGGCUGGAGUACAAUGGCAUGAUUUCAACUCACUGCAACCUCCACCUCCUGGGUUCAAGCGAUUCUCCUGCCUCAGCCUCCCGAGUAGCUAGGAUUACAGGUGCGCACCACAACGUCUGGCCAAUUUUUUGUAUUUUUAGUAGAGACAGGGUUUCACCAUGUUGGCCAGGGUGGUCUAUAACUCCUGACCUUGUAAUCUGCCUGCCUCAGCCUCCCAAAGUGCUGGGAUUACAGGCAUGAGCCACCGCGCCUGGCUGAAAAAAGGUAUUUUAAGAAAGACUAACAGGAAUAUACAGACUAGUAGGGAAAGACUACAGAAGAUCAACUAGAAUUUUGCAAUAAUCCAGGAGAAAAGUUUAGUAAGGGCUGGAUUAGCAUACAUGCAAUGAUGUUGUAGGGAGGAAGAUGAAUGCAAGAAACAUUUGGAGAGAAGGAGCACCAGGAUUCAGUAAGUGAUUGAAUGUUAAAUCUGAGCAAAAGGAAAAAAAAUAUGGUCAAGUUUCUAGCAUAGAAGAAUAAUAGACUCCUUAACAAAAUUAAAGUAGUUGUGAAACAGCUGGUUAAUCAAUAUUAUUGAGAAUAUGGAAACUAACAUUAAAUUCUAAGUCGGGGUCUAACCUACGUGCCUUACAUACAUUAUCUCAUUUAAUCUUUACAACCACCAUAUAAAUACUACUAUCAUUCCGAUUUUACAGUUUUAGAAACUGAGUAAGAGUAAUUAAAUUAUUUGCCCAAAGUUACACAGUAAAUGGUAGAGAAGACAUUUGACCUCAACUGGUCUAACUACUUUUCCUCAUAGGAAGAUGACCAGUUUACAUAUGGAAUCUGUUGAAUUUGAGCAAACAACUCAAAAAAGCAAAAUGGCUAUAGAGGCCAGAUGGGAACAUAAAUGAGUGAAUCAAGUCAGAUGCAACUGUGGAGAAAUCAAAACAUCGAGAGAAGGUAGUUCUACUUAGUUAUGCUUGAAUGUUGCCCUAUGAGAAUUUCAGGCCCAGUAUUGCCAUAUUUUAAGAUUUUUCAUGAAAAGAUGGAAAUCUGGAUUUGUAUGCAAAAAUUUGUGUGAAUAUCAAAUUCAAGUGUUUAAAACUACUGUGGCUCAAACUAUGGCUUCAAGUUUGCAUCUCUGAGCAAAAGGCUGUUGGAAAUUCAGAACUGGAUGUAAAGUGAGAGAUCUGGGCUGAAGGUAAAUGAUUAGGGAAUUCAUAAGCACAGAGAGGAUGGUAGAUGCUUCCAAAACAGUAUGUGUUAGAAUAGUAACCAGCACUUGACAUGAUUAGUUAAAAUAAGGCAAAAAUAUAUGAGUUAACAAGUUAGUCAGGACUUAGAGAAAACUGAUAAAACUAGCAGUGGAAAACUAGCAGACUUAAGUGGGUAUAUUUAAAAUUCAAUUUUCAAUGAACUAAAAGCUAAAUUCCAGACAAUG
rnacentral:lncRNA from 1 species